GACGAACGCUGGCGGCGUGCUUAACACAUGCAAGUCGAACGGAAAGGCCCUGCUUUUGUGGGGUGCUCGAGUGGCGAACGGGUGAGUAACACGUGAGUAACCUGCCCUUGACUUUGGGAUAACUUCAGGAAACUGGGGCUAAUACCGGAUAGGAGCUCCUGCUGCAUGGUGGGGGUUGGAAAGUUUCGGCGGUUGGGGAUGGACUCGCGGCUUAUCAGCUGGUUGGUGGGGUAGUGGCUUACCAAGGCUUUGACGGGUAGCCGGCCUGAGAGGGUGACCGGCCACAUUGGGACUGAGAUACGGCCCAGACGCGUACGGGAGGCAGCAGUGGGGAAUAUUGCACAAUGGGCGGAAGCCUGAUGCAGCAACGCCGCGUGCGGGAUGACGGCCUUCGGGUUGUAAACCGCUUUCGCAUGUGACGAAGCGUGAGUGACGGUAAUGGGUAAAGAAGCACCGGCUAACUACGUG
rnacentral:rRNA from 1 species